rnacentral:ncRNA from 2 species
UAGGCCGAGAGGCGCUGCAACGGACCGGACCGGUCCGCCACGCUCGGCCUGGCGUGAACGACGAGAAGGGCGCCUCCCAAAU